UCGCUACAGCUGUUAUCGCCACUUCAUAAGCACGUGAAUCAAUUUUAGCUCCUAAAUAGCAUUCCCGGUGGUAUUGAUCUACGUGAUCCUUCUUUCAAAUUUCCGACAGAUAGACCUCUAUUGACCUAUCGAGGUGACGAAAGUGUUGAUUUAUGUUUUCAAGUAUGGGCUCUACAUACAUCAAUCAUUGGUCACAGGUCACGAACGGGCCACUUCCUAUCUAUGAGUGACGACUAGAUUUAUCUAAGUCAGUCCCAUGUUUGAGUACAUGUUGUUCUGAAUGCAAAUAAAGAAAGCUUGAGAACUCA